UAGUUUUGCAUAGUUGCACUACAAGAAGAAUGUAGUUGUGCAAAUCUAUGCAAAACUGA
ensembl:miRNA